AAAGCUCAACUUUGUAAUCUGGCAGCUUCGCUGUCCGAGUUGUAGUCUCGAGAAGUGUUUUCCGCGCUGGAUCGUGUAUGAGUCUGUUGGAAUACAGCGUCAUAGAGGGUGAGAACCCCGUUCGUGACACGACUACCAGUGCUUUGUGAUACAUUUUCGAUGAGUCGAGUUGUUUGGGAAUGCAGCUCAAAUUGGGUGGUAAAUUCCAUCUAAAGCUAAAUAUUGGCGAGAGACCGAUAGCAAACAAGUACCGUGAGGGAAAGAUGAAAAGCACUUUGGAAAGAGAGUUAACAGUACGUGAAAUUGUUGAAAGGGAAACGUUUGAAGUCAGACGUGCGUUGUGCGAUUCAGCUCCGGUUCGCCGGAGUGUAUUUCGUACUAUUGCAGGCCAGCAUCGGUUUGGCGAGCCGGAUAAAGGUUAGAGAAAGGUAGCGGUCCAGGCCGUGUUAUAGUCUUUAACUGAAUACGGAUUGCUAGACCGAG
rnacentral:rRNA from 1 species